rnacentral:lncRNA from 10 species
GCUGACCUCACCAGCGUGGUUUCUUCUGUUGUGUGUGUGUUUUUGUUUUGCUGUGAUGCCGAUGACUUGCGGUUUGCCUCACACUUUGUAGUGUGCGUGGCAGUCGUAUAAGAAAACAGCAAAUUUGUCAGUUAGGCUUGUUAUUUAUUACAGGAACCAUGGGGAUGCCAGGCAGCCAGGCUGGCCCCUCCGCCCGCCACCUACCCCACGGUUGAAGGGGCUGCACUGGCCGGGGAUGCCAGACCAAGGGCCCAGAGAAGAGGCACGGCUUCCGAGGGUGAGGAACAGCGAGGUCCUGGCAGCUGCCUCUCUUCGAACACAAUGUUGAGGAGAUGCUUUUUGUUUUUGUUUUUAAAAUUCAUUUCCAUUGGUUUUUGGGGAACAGGUGGGGUUUGAUUACGUAAGUUCUUUGGUGGUGAUUUGUGAGAUUUUGGCGCACCCAUCACCCGAGCAGUAUCCACUGCACCUAAUUCGUAGUCAUUUAUCCCUCACCCUCUUCCCACCCUUCCCCACCGAGUCCCCAGAGUCCACUGUAUCCUUCUCAAGCCUUUGCAUGGGAGGAUGCUUUUAACUGGUAAAAGGCAAUAGUAGAAGUAACAGCCCGAGGGCUCUCCGUGGCCAGUGCCUCCCGAGAUCUCGAGGGCACCCCUUCUCCCGCCUCCCCUCCCACCUCCACCUAGGCCACACGGGCCAUGCCGGCCCCAGAGCUCCCGUGCCACGGGCAAAACACAGCUGUGUCUCAAAACCCUACGCCCAAAGUGCCUUCUCCCAGGCUUCCUUCCAGCUCAUCCGCCACCUUUCUCUGCACUUGGCCCAGACGUCGUCUUUCAAGUCCGGCCUCCCCUAGACCUCGGCUUCUAAAAUUGCAAAGCACCCGCACUCCAACAGGCCUCCGUGCCUGGCUCUCCUCUACACCUUCGUCCCCACCUGCGUUACUGAUCUCUGUGACUUACUGGCUUCUUCCCCCGAGGAGGGCAUGAGCUGCACGACAAUGGCUUUGUAUCUGUGAGAAGCUCUAAUCGUAUUUGCUGUUUAUUGUGGGCUGGGUUGCAUCCCCCCAAACUCACACGUCGAAGUCCAACCCCCAGGAUGUCAUAAUGUGACUGUGUUUGGAGAUAGGGCAUUUAUGGAGGUAAUUAAGGUAGAAUGAGGUCACCAGCAUGGGAGCUAAUCCAGUAGGACUGGUGUCUCCGUAAUAAGAGGAGAUGAGGACACAGACACGCACGGAGGGCGACCUUGUGAGGACACAGAGAGAAGACAGCUCUUACAAGCCAAAAAGAGAGGGCUUGGAGGAAGCAGUCCUGCCGGCACCUUGAUCUCAGACUUCCGGCUUCCAGAACUGUUAGAAAAUAAAUCUCUGUCAUUUAAGCCACCCGGUCUGUGGCACUUUAUGUUCAAUAAAUACCUAUCAGAUGAAUAAAUGAAUCAAUGAGCCAGGUGUGGUGGUCCACGCUUGUAAUCCAAGCACUUUGGGAGGCUGAGGUGGGCGGAUUACCUGAGGUCAGGAGUUCGAGACCAGCCUGGCCAACUUGGGGAAACCCCCACCUCUACUAAAAAUACAAAAAUCAGCUGGAUGUAGUGGCGAGAGCCUGUAAUCCCAGCUACUCAGGAGGCUGAGGCAGGAGAAUUGCUUGAACCUGGGACGCAGAGGUUGCAGUGAGCUGAGAUUGUGCCACUGUACUCCAGCCUGAACAACAGAGUGAGACUGUCAAAAAGAGAGAGAGAGAAAGAAAGAUUGAGAGAAGAAAGAUAGAAAGAAAGGAAAGAAAGAAAGGUAAAGAGAAAGAAAAGAAAGAGAGAAAGAGAAAGAAAGAAGAGAGAGAGGAAGGAAGGAAGGAAGAAAGGAAGGAAGGAAACUAGAACUUAUCAGACACUUCACAAGUGGGGAACCGUUCCUAGCUGAGGCUUGGUGGACUUGGGAGGAUAUUAGUAAUGCAGAUGUUUUGCUCCUAAGACUCCAAGACUGUUUUGCUCCUUCAUUCUUUGCACACAAUUCCGUGGCCAUUCUACUCAUUUUUUUGAGGAUAAAUGAUCUCAGUGGUGAAAUAUUGUCAUGGGUGAGCAGCGACUAUCUGGGGCCAGCGGCUCAGGGUAAAGACAAUUGUAGGUUAAGAAAGGCAGAUUUAGGCCAGGUGCAGUGGCUCAUGCCUGUAAUCCCAACACUUUGGGAGGCCGAGGCAGGCGGAUCAGGAGGUCCUUGAGGUAAGGCCAUCCUGGCCAACAUGGUGAAAACCCGUCUCUACGAAAAAUACAAAAAUUAGAUGGACGUGGUGAAACGCACCUGUAGUCCCAGCUACUUGGGAGGCUGAGGCAAAAUUUCAUCUCAAAAAUAAAAAAAAAAGGCAAAUUAGAGAAAGUAGGAAAAUACACAGCAAGGAGGCAACAGGCAGGCCAGCAAGAGAGGAGCUGACUGCAAGGAGACAAAGGCUUGCUGGGGACUUGAUAGGAUGGUGCUUGUGCUGUGUGCUGGAGAGAGCGACGUGCAGUACUGACAACACCGAGGCCGCGGUGUGCUGGAGAGAGCGACGUGCAGUGCUGACGACGCCGAGGCCGCGGUGUGCUGGAGAGAGCGACGUGCAGUGCUGAUGACGCUGAGGCCGCGGUGUGCUGGAGAGAGCGACGUGCAGUGCUGACGACGCCGAGGCUGCAGUGUGCUAACUUGCAUUUUUCUAUCAGCCAAGGGUCUAAUGACAGCUGGACACAGGAAGAUUGUGAGUUACUUGUGCAGCAGGACUACGUGUUCUGGAUCACGAAGACAGGCAGACUUGGAGCUUCUCUGCCUUCUCUUUUUGCUUUCCCUGGGUCCUGCCAGCCUGACUCCUCAUUCCUAAUUAGGACUCCGGGAAUCUCAACCAGCCAUCAAGUGUUAGAUUCUGAGCACCUGUGCAGGGCUGCAGGUGACAGUCGAUAAUGAGGCUCAUCUUCCUCACCGCCGUGUCUUUCUAACCGUUUGGCCUUCUUCUGAUGGUGGCUGCAACCUCAUCAAUGGCCAGCAUGGAACUAACCCAUUGGGUUAUGUUUUCAUUCCUGUUUUUCUUUACUUUGCUUAAGCAGGAAGUGCAACUGGAUCGGGGAGCCUCUCCGGGGCUCUUUUUAAUUCAUCUCUGCGAUUCUUCAAAUGGUAGGUUGUUAAACCAUGAAGCCAACAGACACCUGGCUGCUUACUGGAUUCAAGGCACUGGGAUGCUUCACUGAAAAUGCCAGUUCAGGGCCCCUCCUCUCCAGGAGCCAAAAUUCUGGAGUGGGGCUGGGAGACCAGAAAGAAACAAAUUAAACCAGCACUCACCGCUAAAAACAAGCAUUGCAAGCAGUAGUGCAAUUAGAUCAAAACACACAAAUCAAAGAUGGCUCAAGGGCUUUCCAGUGUUGAGAAGGGCUG